CAGUCGCCACGGUAAUACAGAGGGUGCGAGCGUUAAUCGGAUUUACUGGUCGUAAAGCGUGCGUAGGCGGCUAAUUGAGUCGGAUGUGAAAUCCCCGAGCUUAACUUGGGAAUUGCAUUCGAUACUGGUUAGCUAGAGUGUGGGAGAGGAUGGUAGAAUUCCAGGUGUAGCGGUGAAAUGCGUAGAGAUCUGGAGGAAUACCGAUGGCGAAGGCAGCCAUCUGGCCUAACACUGACGCUGAGGUACGAAAGCAUGGGGAGCAAACAGGAUUAGAUACCCGCGUAGUCCCUGUCUCUUAUAC
rnacentral:rRNA from 1 species